rnacentral:misc_RNA from 1 species
CAGCCUGUCAUGAAAACAGGAAAUAGGAUUAUUUCCUGUUUUCCUGAUACCUUUACAGAUACACAGAUACUUGAUAAUCAGUAAAUAUCAAAAAUAUGAUGCACGCUAGGAAUUCUUUAUAUGUAAGGUACUUAUUGGUUUGAGAUACCUGGCCAAGGGUGAUUUCUUGUCUGAAGUGGCAGAUUUACAUGGAGUUAGUAGGUCCAGUGCAUGCCAUAUCAUUGAUAACUUUGUAGACGCAGUAAAUGAUAGACUUGACAAUAUCAGAUUCCCAGGAGGUAUGGAUUUGGCUGACGUGAAGCAGGCUUUCUUCAGGAAAUGCAAUAUUCCAAAUACAGUUGGAGCUGUAGAUGGAACACUAAUACCGAUCAUAGCUCCGUCACAAAAUGAAGAGGUCUAUGUCUGCAGAAAAAACUACCAUGCAAUUAACGUUCAAGCUGUUGUAGAUCACAGAGCAAGGUUUAUUGACUUGGUAGCUAAAUGGCCAGGGUCGACACAUGAUGCAUCCAUCUUUGACAACUGUGGACUCAAGGUAAAUGCAUGUACAUCUUUAAUAUUCUGUAUGGAAGUGUUCUUAGCUCUGAGCCAAAGGCUUAAGUUAAGCUUUUGUGACCACUUAAUAUCCGUCGUCUGUC